UAUGCGGGGUAGGGGAGCGUUCUGUAAGCCUGCGAAGGUGUGUUGAGAAGCAUGCUGGAGGUAUCAGAAGUGCGAAUGCUGACAUGAGUAACGACAAUGCGGGUGAAAAACCCGCACGCCGGAAGACCAAGGGUUCCUGCGCAACGCUAAUCGGCGCAGGGUGAGUCGGCCCCUAAGGCGAGACCGAAAGGUGUAGUCGAUGGGAAACGGGUUAAUAUUCCCGUACCUUGGAUAGCUGCGAUGGAGAGACGGAGAAGGCUAGGUGAGCCGGGCGACGGUUGUCCCGGUUUAAGCGAGUAGGGAGUGGACUUAGGCAAAUCCGGGUCCACAAUCUCGAGACGCGACG
rnacentral:rRNA from 1 species